rnacentral:rRNA from 1 species
GCUUCUCGCUGACGAGCGGCGGACGGGUGAGUAAUACUUAGGAAUCUGCCCAGUAGUGGGGGAUAGCACGGGGAAACUCGUAUUAAUACCGCAUACACCCUACGGGGAAAAGGGGGCGCUUGCGCUCUCGCUAUUGGAUGAGCCUAAGUCGGAUUAGCUAGUUGGUGGGGUAAAGGCCUACCAAGGCGACGAUCUGUAGCUGGUCUGAGAGGAUGAUCAGCCACACCGGGACUGAGACACGGCCCGGACUCCUACGGGAGGCAGCAGUGGGGAAUAUUGGACAAUGGGGGCAACCCUGAUCCAGCCAUGCCGCGUGUGUGAAGAAGGCCUUUUGGUUGUAAAGCACUUUAAGCAGUGAAGAAGACUCUAUGGUUAAUACCCAUAGACGAUGACAUUAGCUGCAGAAUAAGCACCGGCUAACUCUGUGCCAGCAGCCGCGGUAAUACAGAGGGUGCAAGCGUUAAUCGGAAUUACUGGGCGUAAAGCGAGCGUAGGUGGCUUAAUAAGUCAGAUGUGAAAUCCCCGGGCUUAACCUGGGAACUGCAUCUGAUACUGUUGGGCUAGAGUAGGUGAGAGGGAGGUAGAAUUUCAGGUGUAGCG